rnacentral:rRNA from 1 species
UUAGCGGCGGACGGGUGAGUAACACGUGGAUAACCUACCUAUAAGACUGGGAUAACUUCGGGAAACCGGAGCUAAUACCGGAUAAUAUUUUGAACCGCAUGGUUCAAAAGUGAAAGACGGUCUUGCUGUCACUUAUAGAUGGAUCCGCGCUGCAUUAGCUAGUUGGUAAGGUAACGGCUUACCAAGGCAACGAUGCAUAGCCGACCUGAGAGGGUGAUCGGCCACACUGGAACUGAGACACGGUCCAGACUCCUACGGGAGGCAGCAGUAGGGAAUCUUCCGCAAUGGGCGAAAGCCUGACGGAGCAACGCCGCGUGAGUGAUGAAGGUCUUCGGAUCGUAAAACUCUGUUAUUAGGGAAGAACAUAUGUGUAAGUAACUGUGCACAUCUUGACGGUACCUAAUCAGAAAGCCACGGCUAACUACGUGCCAGCAGCCGCGGUAAUACGUAGGUGGCAAGCGUUAUCCGGAAUUAUUGGGCGUAAAGCGCGCGUAGGCGGUUUUUUAAGUCUGAUGUGAAAGCCCACGGCUCAACC